GUUUGAUCAUAGCUCAGAUUGAACUUACUGGCGGGAUGCUUUACAUGCAAGUCGAACGGCAGCACGGACUUCGGUCUGGUGGCGAGUGGCGAACAGGUGGUAAUGUAUCGGAACGUGCCUAGUAGCGGGGAUAACUACGCGAAAGCGUAGCUAAUACCGCAUACGCCCUUCGGGGAAAGCGGGGACCUUCGGGCCUCGCACUAAUGCGGCAACCGAUAUCAGUUAGCUAGUUGGUGGGAAGUAACGGCUCACCAAGGCGACGAUCCGUAGCUGGUUUGAAGGGACGACCAGCCACACUGGGACUGAGACACGGCCCAGACUCCUACGGAGGCAGCAGUGGGGAAUUUUGGACAACUGAGGAAGCCUGAUCCAGCCAUCCCGCGUGUGCGAUGAAGGCCUUCGGGUUGUAAGCACUUUUGGCAGAAAAAGCAGCACGGGAUAAUACCCCGUGCAACUGACAGUACAGAAUAACAGCACCGGCUAACUACGUGCCAGCAGCGGUAAUACGUAGGGUGCAAGCGUUAAUCGGAAUUACUGGGCGUAAAGCGUGCGCAGGCGGUUCGGAAAGAAGAUGUGAAAUCCCAGAGCUUAACUUUGGAACUGCAUUUUUAACUGCCGAGCUAGAGUGUGUCAGAGGUGGAAUUCCGCGUGUAGCAGUGAAAUGCGUAGAUAUGCGGAGGAACACCGAUGGCAAAAGGCAGCCUCCUGGGAUAACACUGACGCUCAUGCACAGCGAUGAAGCAAACAAGGAUUAGAUACCUGGUGGUCCACGCCCUAAACGAUGUCAACUAGCUGUUGGGGCCUUCGGGCCUUGGUAGCGCAGCUUAACACGCGUGAAGUUGACCGCCUGGGGAGAUGCAGUGCAAGAUUAAGAAACUCAAGGAAUUGACGGGGACCCGCACAAACAGUGGAUGGAUAAUUCGUUACAGCCGCGAAAAAGCCCUUACUAUGACAUGUCUGGAAUCCCGAAGAGAUUUGCAAGUGCUCGCAAGAGAACCGGAACACAGGUGCUGCUGGCUGUCGUCAGCUCGUGUCGUGAAUGUGGGUUAAGUCCCGCAACGAGCGCAACCCUUAUCAUUAGUUGCUCCCAGGGCACUCUAAUGAGACUGCCGGUGACAAACCGGAGGAAGGUGGACGUCAGUCUCGCUGACCCUUAUACGGGUAGGGCUUCACACGUCAUACCAAUGUGGUCAGGAUGAAGGUGUAAACCCGCGAGAGAAUAAUCCCGAAACCCGAUCGUAGUCGGAUCACCAGUCUGCAACUCGACUGCGUGGAAGUCAGAAUCGCUAGUAAUCGCGGAUCAGCAUGUCAUGUUGAAUACGUUCCCGAGUCAUGCACACCGCCCGUCACACCAUGGGAGUGGGUUUUACCAGAAGCCAGUUAACUAACCGUAAGGAGGGCGAUUACCACAGUAGGAUUCAUGACUGGGGUGAAGUCGUAACAAAGGUAGCU
rnacentral:rRNA from 1 species